rnacentral:rRNA from 1 species
AUUGAACGCUGGCGGCAUGCCUUACACAUGCAAGUCGAACGGCAGCACGGGCUUCGGCCUGGUGGCGAGUGGCGAACGGGUGAGUAAUACAUCGGAACGUGCCCUGUAGUGGGGGAUAACUAGUCGAAAGAUUAGCUAAUACCGCAUACGACCUGAGGGUGAAAGCGGGGGACCGGUAACGGCCUCGCGCUACAGGAGCGGCCGAUGUCUGAUUAGCUAGUUGGUGGGGUAAGAGCCUACCAAGGCGACGAUCAGUAGCUGGUCUGAGAGGACGAUCAGCCACACUGGGACUGAGACACGGCCCAGACUCCUACGGGAGGCAGCAGUGGGGAAUUUUGGACAAUGGGGGCAACCCUGAUCCAGCAAUGCCGCGUGUGUGAAGAAGGCCUUCGGGUUGUAAAGCACUUUUGUCCGGAAAGAAAUCGCGCUGGUUAAUACCUGGCGUGGAUGACGGUACCGGAAGAAUAAGCACCGGCUAACUACGUGCCAGCCGCCGCCGUAAGAC